UGGCUCAGGAAGAACGCUAGCGGCAGGCUUAACACAUGCAAGUCGAGGGGCAGCGGGGAGGAAGCUUGCUUUCUCCGCCGGCGACCGGCGCACGGGUGAGUAACACGUAUGCAACCUGCCCCUGUCAGGGGGACAACCCGCCGAAAGGCGGGCUAAACCCGCGUACAUGCCACCGGGGCAUCCCGGAGGCAGGAAAGGCUUCGGCCGGACAGGGAUGGGCAUGCGGCGCAUUAGGCAGUAGGCGGGGUAACGGCCCACCCAACCGACGAUGCGUAGGGGUUCUGAGAGGAAGGUCCCCCACACUGGUACUGAGACACGGACCAGACUCCUACGGGAGGCAGCAGUGAGGAAUAUUGGUCAAUGGUCGGGAGACUGAACCAGCCAAGCCGCGUGAGGGAGGAAGGUACAGAGUAUCGUAAACCUCUUUUGUCAGGGAACAAAGACUGGGACGCGUCCCCGGAUGAGUGUACCUGAAGAAAAAGCAUCGGCUAACUCCGUGCCAGCAGCCGCGGUAAUACGGAGGAUGCGAGCGUUAUCCGGAUUUAUUGGGUUUAAAGGGUGCGCAGGCGGUCUGUUAAGUCAGCGGUCAAAGCCCGGGGCUCAACCCCGGCCCGCCGUUGAAACUGGCAGUCUCGAGUUGGAGAGAAGUAUGCGGAAUGCGCGGUGUAGCGGUGAAAUGCAUAGAUAUCGCGCAGAACUCCGAUUGCGAAGGCAGCAUGCCGGCUCCACACUGACGCUGAGGCACGAAAGCGUGGGUAUCGAACAGGAUUAGAUACCCUGGUAGUCCACGCAGUAAACGAUGAAUGCUGGCUGUCCGGGGGGACUGACCCCUGGGUGGCGAAGCGAAAGCGAUAAGCAUUCCACCUGGGGAGUACGCCGGCAACGGUGAAACUCAAAGGAAUUGACGGGGGCCCGCACAAGCGGAGGAACAUGUGGUUUAAUUCGAUGAUACGCGAGGAACCUUACCCGGGCUCAAACGGGGAGUGACUCAGGCAGAGACGCCUGUUUCCCACGGGACACUCCCCGAGGUGCUGCAUGGUUGUCGUCAGCUCGUGCCGUGAGGUGUCGGCUUAAGUGCCAUAACGAGCGCAACCCCCGCGUGCAGUUGCUAACAGAUAACGCUGAGGACUCUGCACGGACUGCCGGCGCAAGCCGCGAGGAAGGCGGGGAUGACGUCAAAUCAGCACGGCCCUUACGUCCGGGGCGACACACGUGUUACAAUGGGUGGUACAGCGGGAAGCCAGGCGGCGACGCCGAGCGGAACCCGAAAUCCACUCUCAGUUCGGAUCGGAGUCUGCAACCCGACUCCGUGAAGCUGGAUUCGCUAGUAAUCGCGCAUCAGCCAUGGCGCGGUGAAUACGUUCCCGGGCCUUGUACACACCGCCCGUCAAGCCAUGGGAGCCGAGGGCGCUUGAAGUGCGUCGCCGCGAGGCGCGCCCUAGAGCGAAAUCGGUGACUGGGGCUAAGUCGUAACAAGG
rnacentral:rRNA from 1 species